ensembl:snoRNA
AUUCUUUUGUAGUUCAUGAGCCUGACAAUUGGGUGUUCACACAUGUGUGUGAGAUGUGCUACUCUCGAACCUUGGUACAACGUCAUCACACUACCUGUCUGACC